rnacentral:miRNA from 1 species
CUGACCCAUCUCUCACCCCAGA